UACGAGGGGGGCGAGCGUUGUUCGGAAUUAUUGGGCGUAAAGGGUGCGUAGGCGGCCUGACAAGUCUGAUGUGAAAUCCCUGGGCUCAACCCAGGGCCUGCAUCGGAAACUGUCGGGCUUGAGUAUGGGAGAGGUGAGUGGAAUUUCCGGUGUAGCGGUGAAAUGCGUAGAUAUCGGAAGGAACACCUGUGGCGAAAGCGGCUCACUGGACCAUUACUGACGCUGAGGCACGAAAGCUAGGGGAGCAAACAGGAGUUAGAUAUCC
rnacentral:rRNA from 1 species